rnacentral:lncRNA from 1 species
UAGGUUUUAUUCUUUAACCUUUAUUCUAAUCAUUCAAGAUUUUAGAAACUUUUCGGGUUGUCACAUUCACCCCUUCUUCUAAGAAUUUCGUCCUCGAAAUUAAAGCAUCCUAAUCUCUGCUCAUUCUCUUGAUCAAAACUAGGUUUUCAAUUUAACCUUUACAAUUUCCUCAUUCGAGGAUUUCUCAUCUAUUAUCACAUUUCACCAUAACUACUCACUAGGAGUUUACAUCUUCUAAACAUUCAUCAAAACUAGGUUGUCAUAAUAACCUUUAUUUAAUCAUCUCAGAUUCUACUCGUACGCAACGAGUUUACACUAUUUCAUAUCCAUCAUCACAUUCUACCACAACAUUACUUUGAAGAGUUAAAAAAAACUUUUCAUAUCUGUCUGAGGGAUCAUAAAAAUUAUGAACUUUGAACUCCGAGGUUUAGGGGUAUUUCUACCUGCUACCUCUUUCAAUUAAGAAAGAAAGGUACUCUACCUCUUAAACAUUUCUUUAAUAGGUAUGUUUACAAUCACGAAGAAGGUAAACUACCGAUUCUGGUACUUUAGAUGAUCAGUCUAUUGUACCUUAGUAAUCCGAACGACUAUAUGCGUCCUUAAAUUGGAAUAUUCUAUCCAAUUAGUAUAUCCCCAUUUUCAGGGUUGUUCACCUCAGACUUAGUAUAGGAUUCCGCACCAAAACAAUUUGGUUCGGGAAAUUUCUUUCAAUGAACACUUAGAGUUUUCAUAAACAUUAGUCUAGCUGAAUCGAAUAGCAUAGACUCAUAUCGAUAAUUCAGUUCAAUAGAAUUAUUUAAGUAUAGCCAAACCCCGUUGGCAAAUUAAAAUUUUGAAAACAUUUUUCGAGAAUGACGUCAUGAUGCCGCACUGUAUUUACAGUCCGUUGAGGAUUCCGUCAUUUGGUGAUUUUAUCAUACUACAUCAUACCAUAGUGGGUUGACGAUCCUGAGAUCACAUCCAACACUAAGUAAUACUGCAUUGAUGACUCCAUCAUUUUUUUAUCAUCUCUGCACCAGGUUGCAUGGUACAUAAGUGAUAAAUAAAAACAACUUUUGAUACUUCAAAUCAUUCGCGUCUAGCCGAAAUAAGUAGCAUAGACUGUACUUUAAAUCGUUUCAAAAAUCUUUGCAAAUCAGUUUUAUCAUCUCAACAGGUAACGAGGUGUCGAUGGCCCGAAGUCCACGCAUACACAAUAAUCACCAGGAGUUGAGAAUAAAAAUUCAUUUUUCAAAAGCACAUAGUGCGUAUUUAGCUUGAUGUCAAAAACUUCGAAGUCUAGCAUAGCUAGAAGAUUUGGAAUACCUAUGCUUCCAUCAUCAACUUCACUUUUUCUACUGAUCCAUUACUUAAUAGAUCUAUCUAUUCUUAUAAUCCUCAAUGCUCCAUUCACCACUUUGCUAUACCCCAGUUCAUCAAACUUACCACACAUUAUGAGUUCAGGAACUUGCCACAAUCAUAUGAGUUUAAGAACUUAUCCUAGUCAGACCAUAGGCGUCCAUUCGCUGAGGGGUUCAAAACAUACCAUAUGAUUAUGAGUCAUGAACUUACCAUAAGUAUGAGUUUUAAGAACUCGCAACUUAACCUUAUAUCCUCUACCUAUUCGUUAUACACAUGAGAAAAGAAUCACCUUCUCAACAUGCAUAUAACAAAUAGCGCGACAUAAACAUUUCAAUGAUUAUCAGUGCCAGAAACUAAGUGGUUUUUACACCAAGUACAAUUCAGCUCCCAUACGAAGAAUUAUACACUCAGCUGCCGACAUGAGUCCUCAAUUGAAUCCCCACCUAACACUAACCCCAUUCUCCAUACGAAUUUAAUUCGUAUUUAUAAUUCUCUUCUGGAUCUGUACCAAUUUAUAGUACAAUUCAUACACAGCAAUCUUGCUGUAAACUUUUCAUCAUUCUCUUGAUCUUUCUUCAUACCAUAAUCUUAUCAGAUCACGGAGUGAUCUCAUCGUAUAUAUUACGAUUCAUUGCUAUUCUGUGAUCGUUUUGUUUUACGAUCUCUCAUCCUUACACUUGUAAUCUCUUAGACUCUAUCUAUCCACUUCCUAUACUUGGUACACAUCGAGUCUCUAACAGUUUUCAAUAUGGUACGCUGAGUGGUUUCCCACAAACAACCAACAAACUAGGUUCCGAGUUGCUAGUUCGUAUAUACCUCCGCUCUAUGAAGGAAUCGUUUAGCCCAGAUACCAUACAUCAACUAGUUUCGAGUACAAUGGUACCAUACUUAAACCUAACUUUUUGACCCUGCGAGAUUCUUCAACUAACUCUAUGUGAGUUAGUACUUAUCCUAAUCACUGCGGUUAUUGGUCUCAGGUAUUGCUACCUAAGCUUCAUAACCAACAGCUUUGAUACCAACUGUAGCAUCCCCGAAUCCGGGUCCCGAAUCGCCGCGGAUCCGGUUCGCUAUUUCUACAACUGUUUGCGGAAGAUAUAAACAUAGAUUGUUUAUACAUUAAACUUUACACACAUUUCCCCAGAAUCGAGUAACCUUCACUUAUACACAAUCAUGAACUAUCUAGCACAUGACAAUACUAUUCUUCAACAUACUUUACAACUUAACUUCACAUUCUGUACCAAGCUGAACUUGGCAUUAUCCUUUUUCUGUAUCUGGCCGUAUUCGCCUUAUCUGCAAUGUUUUAUCAUGAUAUAGCAAGGGUGAGCAUGAAAGUUGCCCAGCAAGUUUAAAAAAAACAAGGUAAAGAUAUAUCAUGAUUGAAAGAGUUUGAAUAAUAAGCUGGCUAUCCUUCACAAUGUAGUUGUGAAUUAGCAUGAACAAAAUUUCAAAGCUGAAUGAACAUUGAAAAUGAACAUAACAAUUAUAUCUGAACUGACUGGUAAUGAAGGUGAUCAGCCUUUCAUACCUGAUGAAUACAUGCAAUAUGUACAGAGUACAAUUCAUAAGCAUAUCUGUCUGAAACCACUCUUAAAAGAGUUUAAGUAAAAAGAACUUGAAAAACUUGCCUGAACCGUUGAUUACCGUAACGCAAUAUAAUACGCUUCUCCUGAAGACCUAAUAUUAAUAAUAUAGAUCUCCAAUAUUAGAAUAAUAUCAUCACCGUUAUAAAAUAACUUAAACACAUAAUCCUAUCAGUCUAUACAGCAUAUAAAACCUAUAAUAGAUCUUUCGGUUAGUCAUAACAUAUAGUUAAGUAUUAGACAUUAGUUUUAAGUCUUAAUAUUAUUAUUAUACUUUGAUAUUCUUUUAAUCACAUCAUAACUUAUACUUAUAAGUUAUUCAUUUUUAUAUGUUAUCCUAGUAAAUUAGAUAACAUCUUAGUAAACCGAAAUACCAUUUCAGUAAGACGGAUUUUAUUUCAGUAUCCCGAAAUCACUAUUCUUUUUCACGAAAAAUACCAAAUCAACUUAUUAUUUUUUUAUCCUUUGGUCAAACAUAUAUACAUGUAUUUCAUACAUAAAAAAUAUUUUUCCGUAAUUUUUCAAUUUCUUUUACUAUUUUUCAAAAAUCAUAAUUAGUGCGUGACUUAAGAAAAUUAGCUACCUCGUGCUUAACUCCAGAGAUGCCCAUCUUUUGACAUAACCUUAUAUAUGUUAACGUGAUGCUCCAUUUUAAAUUUCGUGGCAAUCGGAGUUGUAGAACUCCGGUUAUAGCGAUUUCCGUCGGAAAAUCACAAAAAUUGAAAUGGUCAUAACUUGGUCGUUUUAAGCCGGAAUUAGCUCAUUUUUGGACACGAGCUACAUAUUACCAUAUAUUUUCAUUUCCCAAAAGCCUGUAAUUUUUCUCAUUAACUAAAUGUCCAAAACAGCCCUCGGAAAAUUUUGGCCAGAAACUUUUUGCACUUUGGCAGUUUUGGAGUCCUUCACCAAAACUUAAAUAAAACGAAAUCUGUAACUCCGAUUAAUGAUCCGUCAAUUUUGUUGGAUUCGUAUCUUUCCGAACUACAGUUUUCAUAUAUCACAAUCCAUAUUUGGAUAUGUUUAGCUCCCGGAAUUUAGCCCGGAAGUGACUGUUCCAAAACUGUCCUUUUCACAGUUUUCUUAACUUUGUGUAGUUUGGGAGAAAUCCCAUAACUCCCUCCUCCGAUGUCGGAUUUAGUCCGUUUUGGAGUCUAUGGAAAGCUUAUUGAGUGUACUAUAACAUAUCACAAGUCCAGAAUUUUUAGAGCACUCUAACAAAUCCGAAAUUUUCUGUUUUAGGGCAGCAGUCCACUAACUCAUUUAAAACAAAAAAAACUGUUUUGGUUAUUCUUCUUUGUUCAAGCCUAUCAACCCUAAAAAUGGCAAGAUCUAACCAUAAAAUAUCAUUUAUCAUGUAGAUCUAUAGUUCUCAUGUUCAAGAUCUUAAACUUAUGGUUCAAAAUCAUAAGUUCAACACUUGAUCUAAAACACCAUAUCAAAACACUUUAACUAACAAGAGUUUUGAGUUUAGGAAAUUUUUACCUUUAGCUUCAUGACAUAUCUUUUUCUUCCAACUAUGUGAUGGAUCUUGGAUGGAAUGAAAAAUCAAAAUCUCUUCUCCUUCUUUCUUGGAGUUUCCUAACUCCCCUCUCCCUCUCUCUCUUGUCUCUCUCUUUCUUUCUUAGUUAUGUUGGAAAAUAAGAUGAGAAAAGUGAAGAAUAUGAUUUUUGUUUAGUGUAAUAAUGUAAGAAAUGUAUCUAGACAUUAGUUUGCUUGAUAAUUGAGGUGUAAUAGCAUAGUAACAUGAGUGACUUCUAGAAGCAAUUGAUUAGCUAGCAUAAUUGAAGAUUCUUAUCAACAAUGUUACUAAUAAUACACUAAUAAAACAAAAGGGUAUACUAGUAAUUUCCACAUUAAUAAAUGAUUUCUUUUUAAUUCUUAUUUAUUAUACCAAAUGUCCAAUAUGUCCCUCCUUAUUUGGGCUUAAAUUUGGGUCACCAUUUCCAUCUUUUGGGCUAUCAAUAAAUAAUAUAUUGGACUUAAAAUUUAAUUCUUUGGGCCAUGUAAAUUAACAUAGUCCAACACUCUUAAUUCUUAUCCAACCCAAAUCAUUUAAUUAGGGUUUUCAUUUUCCUCAAUUAUAACUUAAAUCCUUACUCAUGCACAUUUAUUUCCUUAACCCAAUUAGACUUGCUAAAAUUAGGUUAUAAAAUUAAUUAACUGAGAUGUAUAAAAUAAAUCUCUCAUAAUUGGUAUAUAUUCUAAAUACCAUAAUUUUCUCAUCUCAUAACCCUUAAGUUAUUAAAUUCUUCAUUCCUAAUAUAUAAUUAGGAUCACAUUAGUUUCUUUUAUUUGUUUAUAUAAUAAACAAUAUAAACCAUCACAUAAUCUUCAUAUUCCUUUACUCACCUAUUCGAACAAAAUAAUUUAAUAAAUUGUGACAUGUUCCACAAUUCUCUUAAAUUAGGUCACUAAUAUAAAAAUAAAAUAUUAGGACCACUAAAUAACGAUAACCAUUUAGGUUAUUUAAUUAUCACACCUAAUAUAUAUAUUAGGUUACAUAAUUUAAUUCUUACUUCACUUUUAUAUACAAAAUAAAUGUAUUCACAUUAUAUAAUGUAUAUUUAUUUAAUCAUACACAUAAUUCAUAUUCAUUACACACAUAACUUUUAAUCCCUUAGGGUUUUAUACAAAACAUUAGGAUUUCUAAUUUAACAAUUAGGGUUAUCCCUAAUAUAUAAUCACAAAUACUUAAGCCAUUAUAUUUAGCCUUUGACUUCCCAAAUUAGGGUUUCAAAUACUGAAUUAGGAUUUCGGAUUCCCGGUACUGAAAUUAGGGUUUCCAGAACCGAUUUCUAGGGUUUCUUAUAAAUCGUAAUAAUUUUAUAACUGAACGUUGACGUUCUAAUAAUAUUAGGGUUUGACACAGAUAUAAUUUAUCUGGUCAACACUUGACCCUUAACCACAUUCUGUACACAUAAUACCGUAAUCACAGAAUAUAUACACACAUACCCUUAAUCCUGAAUAAUUCACUAAAAGAAAUUUUAAAUCCUCAAAAUUCCUUUCUGAAAACAUCAAACACAUACACUUAUUCUCUGUCUAGGUCUAUUAUUUGACCUUAAACCAAUCAUUUAAGAUUUUAAUAAUUUUCUAAUUUCUCGGGUUGUCACAUUCACCCCUUCUUCUAAGAAUUUCGUCCUCGAAAUUAAAGCAUCCUAACCUCUGCUCAUUCUCUUGAUCAAAACUAGGUUUUCAAUUUAACCUUUACAAUUUCCUCAUUCGAGGAUUUCUCAUCUAUUAUCACAUUUCACCAUAACUACUCACUAGGAGUUUACAUCUUCUAAACAUUCAUCAAAACUAGGUUGUCAUAAUAACCUUUAUUUAAUCAUCUCAGAUUCUACUCGUACGCAACGAGUUUACACUAUUUCAUAUCCAUCAUCACAUUCUACCACAACAUUACUUUGAAGAGUUAAAAAAAACUUUUCAUAUCUGUCUGAGGGAUCAUAAAAAUUAUGAACUUUGAACUCCGAGGUUUAGGGGUAUUUCUACCUGCUACCUCUUUCAAUUAAGAAAGAAAGGUACUCUACCUCUUAAACAUUUCUUUAAUAGGUAUGUUUACAAUCACGAAGAAGG